UUGAUUGCGAAUCGUUACCUUCAGUGCUGGCCAGGCUCCGGUUUGGCAAGUGCACGUCGGUGACUUUCAUCCAAUACCCUGUGAACCUUUGGCCUCUUGCUAGCUUUGGCCGGCAGAGGAUUUUACACAAACACGAAUGUAAUGAAAUUUAUUGUCGUGCGCAAGCACUAAUGUA
rnacentral:misc_RNA from 1 species